GCCUUGAUAAUCGCAUAGGACUUCUCUUUUUCUAUCAAAGUCGAUAGAUUUCAUCUAGGUGCAUCCUACUCUAAUAGCAAAUCUAAACCUACUAUAGCCAACAUACACAAUAAAGAUUCGAAUGAUUAGGGAUCAAGAAAAUAUGCAGUCAAACUUAGUAGCCUCACUACGAAUAGCCAAUAACACUGCAAGUCAAAGGACCACUCACACCACUGC
rnacentral:lncRNA from 1 species